UGGGGAAUAUUGCGCAAUGGGCGAAAGCCUGACGCAGCAACGCCGCGUGAGUGAUGAAGGCCUUCGGGUCGUAAAGCUCUUUUGUCAGGGAAGAAACGGUAGUAGCGAAUAACUACUACUAAUGACGGUACCUGAAGAAUAAGCACCGGCUAACUACGUGCCAGCAGCCGCGGUAAUACGUAGGGUGCAAGCGUUAAUCGGAAUUACUGGGCGUAAAGGGCGCGUAGGCGGCAUGACAAGUCACUUGUGAAAUCUCUGGGCUUAACCCAGAACGGCCAAGUGAUACUGUCGCGCUAGAGUGCAGAAGGGGCAAUCGGAAUUCUUGGUGUAGCGGUGAAAUGCGUAGAUAUCAAGAGGAACACCUGAGGUGAAGACGGUUGCUGGGCUGACACUGACGCUGAGGCGCGAAAGCCAGGGGAGCAAACGGGAUUAGAUACCCAGGUAGUCCCUGAGCGGGCUGGCAAGGCGCAU
rnacentral:rRNA from 1 species